rnacentral:sRNA from 1 species
GGACCACAGUAUUUUUGGCUGAAUACACAGGACCUCUGCUAAUAUACCUCCUCUUUUAUUUGAGGAUCCCAUGUAUAUAUGAUGGAAAAGAGACUGCUAGAAGAUUACGCCACCCAGUGGUACACUUGGCUUGCUUCUGUCAUUGUAUACACUACAUCCGAUACCUUUUGGAAACCUUAUUUGUUCACAAAGUUUCUGCAGGACACACACCUUUGAAAAAUUUGAUAAUGAGUUGUGCCUUUUACUGGGGAUUUACUUCUUGGAUUGCCUACUACAUUAAUCAUCCACUAUAUACACCACCAUCAUUUGGAAACAGGCAAAUCACAGUAUCUGCUAUCAAUUUUCUGGUCAUAAUCACCUGCCACACUUUGUAAGGAGCUCUCACAUGACCCUCUCUUGCUUUCUCUCUCUCUACGUAUCUUUAGUUAAUAGUUUAGGUAAGAACGUCCUCCACUGUGUUGGCUUUGAAAAGGACAGAUCUUUUUUUGUCUUUUCAGCAUAUAGUUUGGCAUAGCAGGAACUCAUUACUUGUUUGAAUAAAUGGCUCAGAUUAUUUAUGUAUUUGGAAUUUUUUCAACAAUAUGUUGAAAACAUAUCACAGCCUUGUAAUUUUCCAAUUGUGCAUACUGUUCAAGGAGAGGAAUUCCAUGGUUCACGUGUUGUAAUAGCGUUAUGCAACGUUGUAUACAGCGUACUACAACCCCUGUUGUAUUAAGACUAAUGUUCUGAU